UACGUAGGCAGCGAGCGUUGUUCGGAGUUACUGGGCGUAAAGCGUGCGUAGGCGGUUUUCUAAGUUUGGUGUGAAAUCUCCCGGCUUAACUGGGAGGGUGCGCCGAAAACUGGAAGGCUUGAGUAUGGGAGAGGUAAGCGGAAUUCCUGGUGUAGCGGUGAAAUGCGUAGAUAUCAGGAGGAACACCUGCGGUGAAGACGGCUUACUGGACCAUAACUGACGCUGAGGCACGAAAGCUGGGGGAGCAAACAGG
rnacentral:rRNA from 1 species